CCUACGGGUGGCAGCAGUGAGGAAUAUUGGUCAAUGGACGAGAGUCUGAACCAGCCAAGUAGCGUGAAGGAUGACUGCCCUACGGGUUGUAAACUUCUUUUAUAUGGGAAUAAAAUGCUCCACGUGUGGGAUUUUGUAUGUACCAUAUGAAUAAGGAUCGGCUAACUCCGUGCCAGCAGCCGCGGUAAUACGGAGGAUCCGAGCGUUAUCCGGAUUUAUUGGGUUUAAAGGGAGCGUAGGUGGAUUGUUAAGUCAGUUGUGAAAGUUUGCGGCUCAACCGUAAAAUUGCAGUUGAAACUGGCAGUCUUGAGUACAGUAGAGGUAGGCGGAAUUCGUGGUGUAGCGGUGAAAUGCUUAGAUAUCACGAAGAACCCCGAUUGCGAAGGCAGCUUACUGCACUCCAACUGACACUGAGGCUCGAAAGUGUGGGUAUCAAACAGGAUUAGAUACCCUUGUAGUC
rnacentral:rRNA from 1 species